rnacentral:tRNA from 1 species
GGGGAUUUAGCUUAGUGGUAGAGCGCUUGCCUAGCACGCACAAGGCCCUGGGUUCAGUCCCCAGCUCCG